rnacentral:ncRNA from 1 species
GUGUUGUAUGAAAGGAGAGAAGGUUGGCACUCCCCUUGACAAGGAUGGAAGAGACCCUUGGGCCUGACAAUAUGCAUACAGUUAAGGCAUUGCCACCUACUUCAUUUAUUU